rnacentral:rRNA from 1 species
UACGAAGGGGGGCUAGCGUUGUUCGGAAUUACUGGGCAUAAAGGGUGCGUAGGUGGCUUGUUAAGUCAGGGGUGAAAGUUUUCGGCCCAACCGGAAAAUGGCCUUUGAUACUGGCGAGCUCGAGUGCGUGAGGGGUAACCGGAACGAGCAGUGUAGCGGUGAAAUGCGUAGAUAUUGCUCGGAAGGCCAACGGCGAAGGCAGGUUACUGGUACGCAACUGACACUGAGGCACGAAAGCGUGGGGGAGCAAACAGG